AAAAAAUAAAUUUUUUCAAAAUUCCGAGGGAAUGGAGUUCCUCGGAAUAUUCCGAGGAACUUUCUCCCCUCGGAAAAUUCCGACGAACUUUAAGUUCCUCGGAAUUUUCCGAGGGAAUAAGUUCCUCGGAAUUUUCCGAGGGAAUAAGUUCCUCGGAAUUUUCCGAGAAACUCCAUUCCCUCGGAAUUUUCCGAAGGAAGAAAGUUCCUCGGAAAAUUUCGAGGAACAUUUGUUCCUCGGUAUUUUUGGAUAAACAUUCCGAGGAAUAUUUCGUCGAAACUUCCGAGGAUUGGACCAUCGGAAUUCCCUCGGUAUUUUCCGAGGAACCUUCCGACGAACUUCGUGUCCUCGGAGUUUCCUCGGAAUUCCGUCGGAAUUUUCCGACGGAAUUCCGAGGAAGUAUGAAUUUCCGAGGAGAUAUUUCCGAGGACUUGUUUCGUCGGUAUGUCCUCGGAAUAGCGUUAUUCCGACGACAUACCGACGAUUUUUUCCCUCAAGAUCCCGAUGUUUUCUUGUAGUGCUAGGAUCAUAGGAUGUUGUUAACUGGUCCGGCUAGAUGAAUGGUAAGACCUUCGUGAAUGGUUGUUUAAUGAAUUAAGUGUUACACCGAGAACGGAUGGCGUAAAAAAAUAAAGAAUGAAUGAGUCUAAGGAAUCAGAAAAAAAGGAAAUGAAAGGAAAUAGGAAAGUUGAAUGAUUGAAUUAUAAGCCACCCAGAAAGGAUGGGUAGACAGGAAACAAGAGGGCGUAGCGUUCAAAAACGGUGGAAAUGCGGGGUCGUAGCAUUCAAAAAUGGCGGAUUAAGAUUAUAGGCGCCGGUAAGAUUGAUUCACACCGAGUCUUGACGGGAAGGGAUCAUAAUACACUGCAAGGGCGAACCACAUCCAAGGGACAGAAUGUUGAGAAUACCAGAGCAGGCGGGUCCAUAGGGAUGCAGCAAGAAAGGGGUGGGUUGGAUCGCUUGAGUUGUGUAGGUCAUAGAGUUUUAGGAUGAUUGAAGUCUUAAGUCAAAUUAUGUGUAUUGAGUGAUGACUGAGAUCAUUGCAUUGCUUGAUUUCGUGAAAUGGGACUGUUACAGUUAGUUACGUAAGUUGCGUUAAAUUAAGUGUAGUGACUAGUCGGUUCUCGUUUCGCAUUGAGUAGCAUAGAGGCUCAUUGUUGUGGUCAUGAAAUCCAUGGUUCAACCAGAGUCUCACCAAACCGUCCAAACCGGCCAUCUAGGAGGUAACAGCGACCGAGGUUCAGUCCAAGGCGUAUAUCUCCACAACCAGAAGGACUUUCAACAUGGAACCAAUAGUAUUGGAUUCUACACUCAAGAAUGAGUCCAGCAAAAACUGGAAUCGGGCCAAAAUAUUCACGGAGCAAGAAGUUAUAAUUUUACAUGUCAGAGGUUGUCCAGCCCGUUUAUCUACGAGUACCCGACUUUAGAAGUAGUUUAAAGCCCAAGGAAGGAGCGUCCUGAACCAAAGCCCAUCAUAGGAUUCAAUAGGGAUCUAUCAGCUUUUCAGAAACCCCAAUAUCAGGAGAAAUUGACACGGAAAUCAGAAGUUAUGAUCAAUAUCCCAAAACCGGCCAAACCAUUCUGCACUUACCUCAAUUGGAAGCUAACCGGUUCAAUCAGCUUCAAAACAGACAUUGGCGAGCAGGAGAUCAUUUCAACAAAUCAGGAGGUAUUCUAGGCGUCCAGGAGGAGGUCUACAAGUUUAUACCAUGCACCAGCAACCAUUGGAUCAGGAGGAUCCUCAUUUACUCAAACCUGCCUUAUUUGGAGCAAACCGACACUAAUGUCCAACAGCUCUUUUUAUAUCAAGCUAUGGACGAGAUCAGAACCUUUCAAGCCAUCCAGAAGAACCCAAGUAAGCUAUCUUAUCCAUUAAAACCGUCCAGGUUCAAGAAGAAUCAAGUUUCUCACUUGAAGCCAAAAUCCCAUAAAAGGCUCCAACGGCUAGUUUUCGAUUUUGUUACUUUGCUUGAUUUGUUUCCUUUUCUAUUUGUUUUAGAAUGUUAGGAAAUUUGUCUCUGAGCAUUAUAUAAGCUCCUAAAUGUGCAUUGUAAAGAGCACCCCUCAAUCAUCUAAGAAUUUAUAAAAGUUAUUCAGUUUUUAUCAAAGAGUGUUCUUUGCAUAAAAUAUCGGUCUUUAGGAUUUUCUUUGUUGUUCUAUUGUUUUCGUGACUCGUGAGUCUAGUUUGUUUGUGAAAAUCAAACAAGUUCAGUAUACAUAUUGAGAGAGUCAAUCACCUUGUUUCGAUCAUCCAUCAGAUUGAGAGAUUCAAUCAAACCUUCAUCCGCAAAUCCACUUCAAUCCAUUAUUUGAUCAAGCUGAGAGUGAUACACAUCCAGCAGCUUGAUUCCACCUCAUCAAUCCUUUUUCUUUCAUUUAAUUAUUCUUAUUAUUGUUAUUAUCAUCAUCAUCUCAUUCGUUUUGCAUUUGUUUCAGGUUUACACCUUGAUUUCAAUCAUAUCUCCCACCCGAUCAUCUAUUUGGUCGAUCUAUCCAAACCUCAGGCCAUCCAUCCGACCAGCCUGAAUCUGUCCCCAAAACAUUUUGGUAUCAGAGAUCAAGCUCCUGACUAAGGUAUAUCUAUCGUUGCAUCAUAUUUAAUUUGCCUGCAUUUGUUUUCAUCAUAAACCGAAAAUCCAUAAAAACUGUUUCUUUGUUUCAAGUUUUAUUCAUGCAUUUGUUUUUGUGUUCUUUCUCUUCAUCCUUUUAAAAGCCACGAAAAAGAAAAGAAAAAGUCUUGUUUGAUUCAUUAAAAAUCGAAGAUCCCCAAAAGAAAUGUGUUUGUUUCCUUUUUGUUUUGUUUCCAUAAUCAAAAAUCCCAUAAAAAUUGUUGUUUUGAAUUUGUUUCCUUUUCAUUUGCAUCCAUAAACUUAAAAGCCAAAAUAAAUCAUUCUCAGUAUUCUCAUACCAUUUCUAGUUGUCCAUUUCGUGCUUGCAUCAAGAAAACCAAAUAAAAAUAUUGCAUCUUAGACUCUUAGUUUAAAUCAUUCUUGCAUAUUGUUGGAUUAAUUGUUUGCAUAUUAAGAAAACUCAAAAAAAAAAAAAAUUCAGCAAUUAAUUUGCUUUACAUAUUUUCGCUUCAUUUAUGUUUAGUAUCAUUUCAGAUAGUCUCCAUUCGAUUUGCAUUGAGAAAACCAAAAGAAAAAUCAUUUUUGCAUAGUUUAUUUCAUUUUGGUUCAUAAUUGCAUAUUUCUCGGUUUAGGUUUAAUAAGCUUGCAUUAUUCAUUUGGUUCGACCAACACUUCCCAUAUCUUCACUUGAUCUUUUAGAUUGGUUGCAGGGAGAAAUGGAAGAGGCAGCAUAAGGCCAAGCUUUAAUAGCCUCUCAAAAACAGCUAUUGGCCGCUAUAACAGGAGUACAAUAUCAGAUUGCUCAGCUGGAGAGAAGAAACAAGGCACAAGCCAACGUACACACAAAGGAAAAAGAAGUUUUGGAGAUGCACCUGAGGCUGUCUAUGUUGAACCCAAGCCACCAGAUCCUUCAAGCAUCUGUCAAACUCCAAUUUCUAAAACCCACAACCCUCAUGUUGUUAAUUCUCGGUUUGAUUAUAAUUCCUUUGCUGAUAAAAUGGAACUCUUUACAUUUUUAGGAGGAAGAAGCUACCUAACAUGGGAGAGGAACCUUGAUGAAUGGUUUCACUACAACAACAUUCUGAAGGAAGAGAGGCUAUCUUAUGCCAUUGAUCAACUAAGAGGUAAUGCCUUUAAAUGGUGGGUACAAGAAGAAGAUUAUAGAUGGUUUACAAGGAGUCAGCUAUCAAAACGUGGAGAGAUCUUAAGGAAGUCAUGAGGGAUGAAUUUGCACCAGAACUCACAAGUUCUAAGACCCAAAAGAUAUACCCAAGGAGGUAUCUAGCUCUUGGUUCCAAAGAAAAAUCAGAACCUGUUAUUGUCCAAGUAAAGGCUAAGGUAAGUCCUACACUUGAUAAAUUUGUUUAUAAAUCAUUUCCCACUGGUAUGAGUCACUUGUCUUUGUCCAAGAAUGUUAAGACAGGUCCUGAGAUCCAGAAAGACACGAUCUCCCCAUCCUUGUUGAGAUCAAAAGUUGUCCAUGAUUUAAGUCCAAGAGACAAGGAGAUUUUAAACCCAAAUAAAGAAGAGCCAUCAAGCCAAGGUAAGUCUUCUAACUCUGAGGAUUUGAAAUAUCAGACAUGUUAUAGAUGUCAUAAGAAAGGAAACUAUGCUGUAGUUUGUCCUACUAAGCAAGCAUUGAUAGAAACAUCACUAGAAGAGAAAACAGAUUUAUCUAUGAAAAGUGAUAGUUUUAUUCAAUCUGAUUUAUUGGUUUCAAGUUCUUGUGUAAUGCACUUGUCUUUGUCAAAAAGUGUUGUAACAGGACUUAAGGAGGAAGAAUUCAAAAGAAAGGAAUCACCAGGCGUCACCCUUGUGAUAGACCAGAAGAUGGUUCAAGACACAAAGCUGUCCAUGUUGCUUAAAGAAGCAAAACCGGUCAUAAAAAUAUCCCACCAAGGUAAGUGUCUAACACCACCUUUGGACACUAGUACUGACGUGUGUGUUCUUGGUACAGGGAGAACAAAUGAAAUCUAUAAGCUUAUUGAAGUUCCAAAGAAAGAACCAGACCAUAAACUCAGUUAUGAACCCACUCCCAAGUGGAAACCGAAAUCUGACCAAUCCAUUGUUCAAGUUCCAAAACCUAUGGUAAGAUUCAUUUUAGAUCAGCAUUUUCUUAAUAUUUCAAUGACAGAUAUAAUGCACUUGCUUUUUGUCCAGCAUGUUGAGAAAUUUUCAGGUUGCAAAGAAGAAAGCCUUCAAAGAAAUCCCACCAGAUUAUCUUAUGUUGCUAGGAGGAUCAACUCCAAAGAUGAUCAGAAACUUGGCCACCAAACCCUUGAAGAACCAUCCACUCCAGAAGAGAUGAAAUGGCCAUAAACAUAGCAGAGUCGUGAUCCUUUCACACCUUUUCAAAGAAGAGCCACCAGAUGCACCAUGCAUUACCAACCCAAUAUUUUAUCAAGGUAAGGUUCUAGAAUCUCAAAAGAGAAUGAAAACUGACUUGCUCUAUUCUAGGGCAAGUUAUACAGUUUUGAGGUCGAAACCUUGUCAAGUAGGAGGGGAUGUUGUGGUCACGAAAUCCAUGGUUCAACCAGAGUCUCACCAAACCUUCCAAACCGGCCAUCUAGGAGGUACCAGCGACCGAGGUUCAGUCCAAGGCAUAUAUCUCCACAACCAGAAGGACUUUCAACAUGAAACAAAUUUUAUUGGAUUCUACACUCAAGAAGGAGUCCAUAAAAAAUUGGAAUCGGGCUAAAAUAUUCACGGAGCAAGAAGUUAUGAAUUUUACAAGUCAGAGGUUUCUUAGCCCCUCUUUUCCCCUUUCCUUUCGCAGAACCGUAAGUAGAAGGGUCGAUUGUACCAAAGGAAACACACCUGAAGUUCUUGGGACCAGUAACGGGACAUACAAAGAUGUCGAAUGUGGAGCAUGUGUGUUCUUAGCCCCGUACUCGGGAACCCCGGCCGGAAUGGGGGAGAGACGGGUGUUACAUUCCUGAACAAAACCAUAACUGAAAUAGAGUAGUGCGAAACGCAAGUACAAGUGGAUCUGCACAAAACACUAGUAGGGUGACCAGGAGUGCUGUAGAUCAUGGGGUGUGCAUGUGGAACAAGACGUUCCAAUUGGUGGUCGUGCUGAACCAGAUAAACUGAGAGACGCGCUUCAUGUGUUGAAAUCAACUGAAGAUGGAAAUAACCACAUCAACUUAGAUGACUUGGGUUCUGAAGUUGACGGGGCCAACGGGGGUUAUGACCUUAAUCUUGAAAUAUAACAGAUCGCCCUUGACCUUUUAUUGUUUCACUAAAUUUUAUACUCGCGCGUAGUAUUAAUAAUAAUUUAGACUAGUUUUGUAAUAACUUUUAAACUAGUUAUUUAAUUUAUUUAUAUAGUUUUCUUAUCUGAAAUAUGAUUUGUUGUUCUCAAUAUUUAUGUCUAUUUAUAACUAUACCCUCUUAUUAGCUAUUUAGUUAUUUGUAUUUAUAAACGUAAUAAUUAUGUUUUUAAGCAUAUUCAUAAAUUUUUGAAAAAUAUUAAUUUUUAUUUAAAAUACUACAUAAAUUGCUUGAUGCAUGUAAACUGUUAAUACAUUAUAAUAUUUAUGAUACAUUUUACAUAGAUUUUAUUUGAAUAACAUAAAUGAUUGAACUAUUUGCAUAAUAUCUAAUUUUAUUUGUAUUUAGAAAGAAACUUUACAGUUAAUGUGUGAUUGUUAUACGUAUGUGAUAGUAUAAAAUUUAUAUUUAAAAUUUAAUCACAAUAAAUAUUUUGAUGAAAUUUAAUUAAUAUUAAAUAGCCUUUGUAAGAUAAUAUAAAAAGUAAAGUAAAUAUAAUGAAUUUAGCUAAUGUUAUGUAACACUUUAUUUAUUGAAUUAUUAAUAUUGAGAAUCUAAAUUAUUAGAUU